CAAUAGCGUAUAUUAAAGUUGUUGCGGUUAAAAAGCUCGUAGUUGGAUUUCUGCCGAGGACGACCGGUCCGCCCUCCGGGUGAGUAUCUGGUUUGGCCUGGGCAUCUUCUUGGAGAACGUAGCUGCACUUGACUGUGUGGUGCGGUGUCCAGGACUUUUACUUUGAGGAAAUUAGAGUGUUUCAAGCAGGCACACGCCUUGAAUACAUUAGCAUGGAAUAAUAAGAUAGGACCUCGGUUCUAUUUUGUUGGUUUCUAGAGCUGAGGUAAUGAUUAAUAGGGAUAGUUGGGGGCAUUCGUAUUUAACUGUCAGAGUUGAAAUUCUUGGAUUUGUUAAAGACGGACUACUGCGAAAGCAUUUGCCAAGGAUGUUUUCAUUGA
rnacentral:rRNA from 1 species